rnacentral:ncRNA from 1 species
GUUUCAGGGCGAGGUGUAAUUCCUCACCGGCGGUGAGAAAGUAAAAUUCUUUUAAGUCCGCGAACAUGCAAUACGCAUGCUGAUGUGGUGUGAUUCCACAACCGACGGUAUAGUCCGGAUGGAAGAAA